rnacentral:tRNA from 1 species
GGGGUUGUAGCUCAGUGGUAGAGCGCUUGCCUUGCAUGCAUGAGGCCCUGAGUUCGAUUCUCAGCACCACA